rnacentral:rRNA from 1 species
UUAAGCGACUAAGCGUACACGGUGGAUGCCCUGGCAGUCAGAGGCGAUGAAGGACGUGCUAAUCUGCGAUAAGCGUCGGUAAGGUGAUAUGAACCGUUAUAACCGGCGAUUUCCGAAUGGGGAAACCCAGUGUGAUUCGUCACACUAUCAUUAACUGAAUCCAUAGGUUAAUGAGGCGAACCGGGGGAACUGAAACAUCUAAGUACCCCGAGGGAAAGAAAUCAACCGAGAUUCCCCCAGUAGCGGCGAGCGAACGGGGAGCAGCCCAGAGCCUGAAUCAGUGUGUGUGUUAGUGGAAGCGUCUGGAAAGGCGCGCGAUACAGGGUGACAGCCCCGUACACAAAAAUGCACAUGCUGUGAGCUCGAUGAGUAGGGCGGGACACGUGGUAUCCUGUCUGAAUAUGGGGGGACCAUCCUCCAAGGCUAAAUACUCCUGACUGACCGAUAGUGAACCAGUACCGUGAGGGAAAGGCGAAAAGAACCCCGGCGAGGGGAGUGAAAAAGAACCUGAAACCGUGUACGUACAAGCAGUGGGAGCCUCUUAAUGGGGUGACUGCGUACCUUUUGUAUAAUGGGUCAGCGACUUAUAUUCUGUAGCAAGGUUAACCGAAUAGGGGAGCCGAAGGGAAACCGAGUCUUAACUGGGCGUUAAGUUGCAGGGUAUAGACCCGAAACCCGGUGAUCUAGCCAUGGGCAGGUUGAAGGUUGGGUAACACUAACUGGAGGACCGAACCGACUAAUGUUGAAAAAUUAGCGGAUGACUUGUGGCUGGGGGUGAAAGGCCAAUCAAACCGGGAGAUAGCUGGUUCUCCCCGAAAGCUAUUUAGGUAGCGCCUCGUGAAUUCAUCUCCGGGGGUAGAGCACUGUUUCGGCAAGGGGGUCAUCCCGACUUACCAACCCGAUGCAAACUGCGAAUACCGGAGAAUGUUAUCACGGGAGACACACGGCGGGUGCUAACGUCCGUCGUGAAGAGGGAAACAACCCAGACCGCCAGCUAAGGUCCCAAAGUCAUGGUUAAGUGGGAAACGAUGUGGGAAGGCCCAGACAGCCAGGAUGUUGGCUUAGAAGCAGCCAUCAUUUAAAGAAAGCGUAAUAGCUCACUGGUCGAGUCGGCCUGCGCGGAAGAUGUAACGGGGCUAAACCAUGCACCGAAGCUGCGGCAGCGACGCUUAUGCGUUGUUGGGUAGGGGAGCGUUCUGUAAGCCUGCGAAGGUGUGCUGUGAGGCAUGCUGGAGGUAUCAGAAGUGCGAAUGCUGACAUAAGUAACGAUAAAGCGGGUGAAAAGCCCGCUCGCCGGAAGACCAAGGGUUCCUGUCCAACGUUAAUCGGGGCAGGGUGAGUCGACCCCUAAGGCGAGGCCGAAAGGCGUAGUCGAUGGGAAACAGGUUAAUAUUCCUGUACUUGGUGUUACUGCGAAGGGGGGACGGAGAAGGCUAUGUUGGCCGGGCGACGGUUGUCCCGGUUUAAGCGUGUAGGCUGGUUUUCCAGGCAAAUCCGGAAAAUCAAGGCUGAGGCGUGAUGACGAGGCACUACGGUGCUGAAGCAACAAAUGCCCUGCUUCCAGGAAAAGCCUCUAAGCAUCAGGUAACAUCAAAUCGUACCCCAAACCGACACAGGUGGUCAGGUAGAGAAUACCAAGGCGCUUGAGAGAACUCGGGUGAAGGAACUAGGCAAAAUGGUGCCGUAACUUCGGGAGAAGGCACGCUGAUAUGUAGGUGAAGCGACUUGCUCGUGGAGCUGAAAUCAGUCGAAGAUACCAGCUGGCUGCAACUGUUUAUUAAAAACACAGCACUGUGCAAACACGAAAGUGGACGUAUACGGUGUGACGCCUGCCCGGUGCCGGAAGGUUAAUUGAUGGGGUUAGCGGUAACGCGAAGCUCUUGAUCGAAGCCCCGGUAAACGGCGGCCGUAACUAUAACGGUCCUAAGGUAGCGAAAUUCCUUGUCGGGUAAGUUCCGACCUGCACGAAUGGCGUAAUGAUGGCCAGGCUGUCUCCACCCGAGACUCAGUGAAAUUGAACUCGCUGUGAAGAUGCAGUGUACCCGCGGCAAGACGGAAAGACCCCGUGAACCUUUACUAUAGCUUGACACUGAACAUUGAGCCUUGAUGUGUAGGAUAGGUGGGAGGCUUUGAAGUGUGGACGCCAGUCUGCAUGGAGCCGACCUUGAAAUACCACCCUUUAAUGUUUGAUGUUCUAACGUUGGCCCCUAAUCGGGGUUGCGGACAGUGUCUGGUGGGUAGUUUGACUGGGGCGGUCUCCUCCUAAAGAGUAACGGAGGAGCACGAAGGUUGGCUAAUCCUGGUCGGACAUCAGGAGGUUAGUGCAAUGGCAUAAGCCAGCUUGACUGCGAGCGUGACGGCGCGAGCAGGUGCGAAAGCAGGUCAUAGUGAUCCGGUGGUUCUGAAUGGAAGGCCAUCGCUCAACGGAUAAAAGGUACUCCGGGGAUAACAGGCUGAUACCGCCCAAGAGUUCAUAUCGACGGCGGUGUUUGGCACCUCGAUGUCGGCUCAUCACAUCCUGGGGCUGAAGUAGGUCCCAAGGGUAUGGCUGUUCGCCAUUUAAAGUGGUACGCGAGCUGGGUUUAGAACGUCGUGAGACAGUUCGGUCCCUAUCUGCCGUGGGCGCUGGAGAACUGAGGGGGGCUGCUCCUAGUACGAGAGGACCGGAGUGGACGCAUCACUGGUGUUCGGGUUGUCAUGCCAAUGGCACUGCCCGGUAGCUAAAUGCGGAAGAGAUAAGUGCUGAAAGCAUCUAAGCACGAAACUUGCCCCGAGAUGAGUUCUCCCUGACUCCCUGAGAGUCCUGAAGGAACGUUGAAGACGACGACGUUGAUAGGCCGGGUGUGUAAGCGCAGCGAUGCGUUGAGCUAACCGGUACUAAUGAACCGUGAGGCUUAACCUU